rnacentral:rRNA from 1 species
UACGUAGGGUGCGAGCGUUAAUCGGAAUUACUGGGCGUAAAGUGUGCGCAGGCGGCUUCGCAAGUCGAGUGUGAAAUCCCCGAGCUUAACUUGGGAAUUGCGCUCGAAACUACGGAGCUGGAGUGUGGCAGAGGAAGGUGGAAUUCCACGUGUAGCGGUGGAAAUGCGUAGAGAUGUGGAGGAACACCGAUGGCGAAGGCAGCCUUCUGGGCCAACACUGACGCUCAUGCACGAAAGCGUGGGGAGCAAACAGG